GCGUAUGGCCAUGCCACCCUGAACGUGCCGGAUCUCGUCUGAUCUUGGAAGCUAAGCAGGGGCGGGCCGGGUUAGUACUUGGAUGGGAGACCACUUGGGAAGACCAGGUGCUGUAGGCG
rnacentral:rRNA from 1 species